rnacentral:rRNA from 1 species
UACGGAGGGUGCGAGCGUUGUCCGGAAUCACUGGGCGUAAAGGGCGCGUAGGCGGCGCGAUAAGGCGGCGGUGAAAGUCCGGGGCUCAACCCCGGAUCGGCCGUGGCGACUGUCGCGCUGGAGCACAGUAGAGGCGGGUGGAAUUCCGGGUGUAGCGGUGGAAUGCGUAGAGAUCCGGAAGAACACCGGUGGCGAAGGCGGCCCGCUGGGCUGUGGCUGACGCUGAGGCGCGACAGCGUGGGGAGCAAACAGG